AGAAUAUUAAAUAGAUGUCCUAUAUCUGAUUACGGUUCAGUGAGAAAUAUAUUUUU
rnacentral:tRNA from 1 species